GAUGAAGAACGUAGCGAAAUGCGAUAAGUAGUGUGAAUUGCAGAAUUCAGUGAAUCAUCGAAUCAUUGAACGCACAUUGCGCCCUUUGGUAUUCCUUAGGGCAUGCCUGUUCGAGCGUCAUUUAAACCUUCAAGCUAAGCUUGGUGUUGGGUGACUGUCCGCUUCACGGCGGACUCGCCUCAAAAUUAUUGGCGGCCGGUACAUUGGCUUCGAGCGCAGCAGAAACGCGAACUCGGGCCCGUCGUAUUGGCUCCCAGAAGCUAUCUUCACAAUUUUGACCUCGGAUCAGGUAGGGAUACCCGCUGAACUUAAGCAUAUCAAUAAGCGGAGGA
rnacentral:misc_RNA from 1 species